UUAUUACCAGGACAAUGUUGAAUGAACCAUUAAGAGAAUUCUUAAUAUGUGUGAAAACUCUCAAUUUAUGGAAGGAAAUACUAAACAUUAAAGCUAUAGGCUUUGACACAGAAUUCAGGAGCCAGGGAGUCAAACUGGAAACAAGACUGUCUUUGUUUAUAGACAGUAGAAAACCUUUGAUAAAAAAAAAAAUUAACUUCAAAUACCAGUACUGUUUUUUCCUAUGUAAAAGAAUAUCAUGUUCAUUUUAUACUGGGGAAGGGGAGACAUCUGUAUUAUUAUGCAGAGAUUGAGGCCUAAAAUUAAUAAUUUGGUAGAGGUGAUAACAUAUAACAUGUAACUUGAAGUGGGGAAAACAAUGGUGAAUUAUUUAAAUUUAAAUAGUAUUUAAAUUUAAAUUAGUAUUUAAAUAGUAUUUAAAUUUUUGUGUAUGUACAUUGACUGGUUUUAACUAAUUAAAUGUAAAAAAUAAAAAGAACAGAAAAUAACAUCUUUUAAUUUAUUAUAAUAAACUAUAUUCAUUCUCCCAAAGAACUGAAAAUUUUACUUUUAACUAGUUGUUUAAUAGAGACAUCAGAAAAAAAUAUAGAUGAUAUUUUUCAUCUCAUAGUGACUUGAUAUCCAAUAGUAGGUGAGUAUGUUUAUCUGGGAUAAAAACAAAUCAGUUGCUAUGUAGCCUGUGCUACAGUACAGUUUGUCUACCCAUAAAACUGACCCCACUUAAGUUCUCUGCUCAGAGUUUCCCUAUAAUUCUCAGUAUCAUUUAUAACACAGUUUAAAGCAACACAUUUGAACUAUCUAUUCACCUAUCUGCUUCAUCUUCUUGAUGGCACUCCACUAGGGGAGGAACAAUAUCUGCUUCAUUCUUGAGUCAUUCAUUCAUUCUUCCAUUGGGAUAGGAGCUAGGAAUAUGAAAUAUAAAGGGAAUUCCCUGGUGGUCCAGAGGUUAGGACUACACACUUCCACUGCAGGGGACACGGGUUUGAUCCCUGGUCGGGGAACUAAGAUCCCGCAUGCUGUGCCGUGCAGCCAAAAAAAGUAAGAUGUGUCUCUGCUCUCAAGAUGCUUAGUGAAGAAGAGUGAGAUACAUAAGCAGAUGCUUAUACAGACAUGUAGUGAGUACAGGUUAAAGGUUUAGAAGGAAAUUACGGGUGCUUGGAGGAAGGUCACCUAACCAGGCUAAGGGAUAGGUAUGUCUGGAUUUCAGCAUAGGCUUCCUGUAUGAGUGGCUGAUGCUUGAUACCUAAAGGCUUAAUAAGAAUUAGCCUGAUGUAGUUACAGGAGUUGAAAUGAACAAAUAGAAGAGUUACGACAUUUGGUACUGCUCAUGGUCAUGGUUGGUAGGGAUAGGGAGGGAUUUCUUUAAACAGUGUGUAGCAAUUAGAUCUCAAAGGGAGAUAGUAUUGAAAGAAAGUUCUGGAGAGAUUACUAGAUGCCAGAUCCUGAGUGGUCUUAUGUAUCAUGUUGUCUUGUAGAUGAUUGCUGUCCAAUAGAAAUAAAAUGCAAACCAUGGGUGGAAUUUAAAACUUUCUAGUAACUGCAUUAAAAGAAAAGAACCAGAUAAAAUUAAUUUUAGCGAUCUAUUAGUCUAUAUAUAUAUAUAUAUAGAAUUUUUAAAAAACAUUGAGAUAUAAUUGGCAUAUUAGUUUCAAGUGUACAACAUAAUGAUUCAAUAUUUGUAUAUAUUGCAAAGUGAUCACCACAGUAAGUCAAGUUAACAUCCCUUACCACAGAGUUACAAUUUUUUUUCUUGCAAUGAAAACUUUUAAGAUCUGCUCUCUAAACAACUUUCAAAUAUACAAUAGAGUAUCAUUAAUUACAGUCACAAUGGUAUAUGCUACAUUCCCAUGACUUACUUAUUUUAUAACUGGAAGUUUGUACUUUUUGACCACCUUUACCCAUUUUGUACCCCCCUCAACUCCCACCUCUGGCAACCGCCAAUCUGUUCUCUGUAUCUUUUUUUUUUUUUUUUUUUUUUUGCGGUACGCGGUCCUCUUACUGUUGUGACCUCUCCCAUUGCGGAGCACAGGCUCCGGACGCACAGGCUCAGCGGCCAUGGUUCACGGGCCCAGCCACUCCAUGGCAUGUGGGAUCUUCCCGGUCCGGGGCAUGAACCCGUGUCCCCUGCAUCGGCAGGUGGACUCUCAACCACUGUGCCACCAGGGAAGCCCUGUUCUCUGUAUCUUUGAGUUUGUUUUUUGUUGCUGUUGUUGAGUGAUAUAUGUUAUUAAUGCAAUAUAUCAGAAAUAUAAUCAUUUCAACAUGUAUUCAAUAUAAAAAUUAUUACUGAGGUAAUUUCCAUUCUUUUUUGUACUAAGUCUUUGAAAUACAGUUUGUUUUAUUCUUAGAACUUGUAUUAAUCCAGACUAGCCACAUUUCAAGUGCUUGAUAGCCAUCCGUGGCUCAUGGCUACCACAUUGGGGAAUGCUCUAGACCAACCUUCCUAAGAACACCAGUCCUACAAACUUUUCAGUGAAAACACUUGGGAGAUCUGCCUGAUAUAGAUCCCUCCUAGAGAGUUAAACAAGGGAUUAAUAUAUUAAAGUCCUUGAGAAGUCUUCCAGAAGUAAAGUGGCUGUACUGCAUACAGUUUCUCCAACUUGUGUAACCACAGAAAACUUCACCGGCUCCAGCGUCAUCAACAACACGUAGGACUUGCCCUCGAGCAGCUGUGCUCCACGUGGUGGCAGGUUGCUUUCAGUGGAUGGGGUCAGGUAGCCCACUCUAACAGCAGCACAUAGGACAGAGUGGGGACAGAGGUCUGUGACGAGGCUAUCUUUGGGAAUGACACAAGGCACUAGGACAAAUGUCAAGGAGGACCUCAGAAGUUUUCAUUGUUUCAGUCAGUAAUUAACUCUACUUAGUAAAGAAUGUGAAUUUGCAGGGAUUUCAUUGGACCUCUUCCCAAGUUGUAGAUUCUAUUAGAAUAAUUUUCUUGUUCAUUUUCAUUGUUUUGAUCAAUAAUUAAAUCCUCAUUAAACAAAAAAUUUGUGAUGUGUUAUUCAAACUUUUUAUGUGGGACACACUCAAUAAAAACCUGCUCACUUUUAUUGUGUCCAGUUUUUAAAAAUUUAAGCAGAUUGCCUUUUAGAAGAUUUUCUAUUUCUUGUUUCCUUUUUAUAUCUUAUCUGCAUUCCACUGUUGCAUUUUCUAUUUCUUUCAUAAAUCACAUUUUUUGCUUAUUCUAAAAAAAUAAAAAAGAAAAUGUAAUUAUAAUCAAAAUGUAUGAACUUUUUAGAAAAUGUACAAAAUUUUAAUGUAUUGUCAAAAAUUAUAAAUCAUAAUCAUGUAAAAAAGUUACCUAUAGUUUAAAAUGUAUUUUUAUUUUGAAAUAUUUAAUAUAAUUAAUUAAAAUGUAAAACAAAAUACUAAUGAUAAAGCACAGUAAGAGUUAAAAUAAUUUAAACAAGACAAUAUUUUUGUUGAAUUUUUAAAAAACAAUGAAAUCAUAUCAAAUGUUUAUAAGAACAUGAGUAUUUGCAAUUUUAAUUUUAAUAUCCACCUCAUUGCUAAUGUUAAAUGUAAUAUCAUGUGUCACACAUUCUCUGUCUAGACCAAUGUGCCUAUAUACAAAUCUAAGAGUGAUAUGAAUUAUUUAAUACUGCAAAUUUUUCCCCAGGCUCUAUGUGCAACUGUGGCAGAUAUUGCUCUAAUUUGUGCAUCCCUCCAGAGCCGCCAAGCCUAAUCCUAAUAUUCGUGGGGUUUGAAGCAAGAUAUGAAGACUCAUGUGUCGUAUGUCUACAUGUUUAAAGUUCCCUGACCAGGGAUGGAACCUACAACCCCUGCAGUGGCAGCAUGGAGUCAUAACCACUGGGCAACCAGGGAAGUCCCAAAAUAGACCCUUGAAUUAAACUGGCACGCUGUGGACAUUAAAACAAACCUCUUACUAGGCAGGAACGAGAGGGGAGAAGGCUGGAGCUGUCUGUGUCUGCCUCUUUGCAUCGAGAUAAGCAAGUGCUUCUCACUCAGAUUCAACUAGAUGAGAAAAACUUUUCAAGCCCCUCAGACCUUUAUGCAAAGUUAUUCUGAUGUACACAGAGACAGGUACUUGUAGUACGUUGAUGUUUACUCCAUUCCUAUUCUGAACAGUUGGCUCGAGUCAUCACGCCAGUUAUUUACGCCAGACUUAGGCAGUGUUUGUCUGACGGAAAGGAUUCUGGUAAUUCAACUUCACGUCUAAGCGCUCCCCGCACUAUGACACAGCAAAAGAGCCCACAGCAGCAGCUGUUGGAACAACUGCUCUCUUUUCCUCCCAAGUCUGACAUUUCCAAGGUAGGAUUUGAUUACAACUGCCAAUACAGAAUUAUGGGCAAAGAAAUGAGGUGCAGAGACCAGAAAAUAUUAAGAGUGAAAAUAACAAGGCAGUGAGGCGGUCUGUGUUACAUUCCCUUAUCAGGCUGUGAGAACUAGGCAAAGCAUCCUGCUGAGAAAUGCCUCCUUGCUUCUAGGAUAGAAAAGAGUCUCUCAGACCCGGUCCAGUCAGGAUACCUCACAGCACAGGUGCCAGCCUCUGUGGUUCCUCUGAAGCGGCCAAAAUCUCUGGCAGAUUCGAAUUCAACUACAAGAACUUUCCUGAGAAAAUAAAGGAGAAAUUCUAAGCUUA